rnacentral:rRNA from 1 species
UCGGGAAUUUUGGGCAAUGGGCGAAAGCCUGACCCAGCAACGCCGCGUGAAGGAUGAAGUAUUUCGGUAUGUAAACUUCGUAAGAAUAGGAAGAAUAAAUGACGGUACUAUUUGUAAGGUCCGGCUAACUACGUGCCAGCAGCCGCGGUAAUACGUAGGGACCAAGCGUUGUUCGGAUUUACUGGGCGUAAAGGGCGCGUAGGCGGUGUGUCAAGUCAGUUGUGAAAUCUCCGAGCUUAACUCGGAACGGUCAACUGAUACUGUCACACUAGAGUACAGAAGGGGCAAUCGGAAUUCUUGGUGUAGCGGUGAAAUGCGUAGAUAUCAAGAGGAACACCUGAGGUGAAGACGGGUUGCUGGGCUGACACUGACGCUGAGGCGCGAAAGCCAGGGGAGCAAACGGGAUUAGAUACCCUCGUAGUCCCUGAGCGGGCUGGCAAGGCGCAU